rnacentral:rRNA from 1 species
AGCGAACGCUGGCGGCAGGCCUAACACAUGCAAGUCGAGCGGCCGUAGCAAUACGGCAGCGGCAGACGGGAGAGUAACACGUGGGAACGCGCCCUUUGGUUCGGAAUAACUCAGGGAAACUUGAGCUAAUACCGGAUAAGCCCUUACGGGGAAAGAUUUAUCGCCAAAGGAACGGCCCGCGUCCGAUUAGCUAGUUGGUGAGGUAACGGCUCACCAAGGCGACGAUCGGUAGCUGGUCUGAGAGGAUGACCAGCCUCACUGGGACUGAGACACGGCCCAGACUCCUACGGGGGGCAGCAGUGGGGAAUAUUGGACAAUGGGCGCAAGCCUGAUCCAGCCAUGCCGCGUGAGUGAUGAAGGCCCUAGGGUUGUAAAGCUCUUUUAGCAGGGAAGAUAAUGAC